UACGGGGGGGGCAAGCGUUGUUCGGAAUUACUGGGCGUAAAGGGCUCGUAGGCGGCCAACUAAGUCGGAUGUGAAAUCCCCAGGCUUAACCUGGGAACUGCGUCUGAUACUGGAUGGCUUGAGUUUGGGAGAGGGAUGCGGAAUUCCAGGUGUAGCGGUGAAAUGCGUAGAUAUCAAGAGGAACACCUGAGGUGAAGACGGGUUGCUGGGCUGACACUGACGCUGAGGCGCGAAAGCCAGGGGAGCAAACGGG
rnacentral:rRNA from 1 species